UUAAGCGACUAAGCGUACACGGUGGAUGCCCUGGCAGUCAGAGGCGAUGAAGGACGUGCUAAUCUGCGAUAAGCGUCGGUGAGGUGAUAUGAACCGUUAUAACCGGCGAUUUCCGAAUGGGGAAACCCAGUGUGUUUCGACACACUAUCAUUAACUGAAUCCAUAGGUUAAUGAGGCGAACCGGGGGAACUGAAACAUCUAAGUACCCCGAGGAAAAGAAAUCAACCGAGAUUCCCCCAGUAGCGGCGAGCGAACGGGGAGGAGCCCAGAGCCUGAAUCAGUGUGUGUGUUAGUGGAAGCGUCUGGAAAGGCGUGCGAUACAGGGUGACAGCCCCGUACACAAAAAUGCACAUAUUGUGAGCUCGAUGAGUAGGGCGGGACACGUGGUAUCCUGUCUGAAUAUGGGGGGACCAUCCUCCAAGGCUAAAUACUCCUGACUGACCGAUAGUGAACCAGUACCGUGAGGGAAAGGCGAAAAGAACCCCGGCGAGGGGAGUGAAAAAGAACCUGAAACCGUGUACGUACAAGCAGUGGGAGCCUCUUAAUGGGGUGACUGCGUACCUUUUGUAUAAUGGGUCAGCGACUUAUAUUCUGUAGCAAGGUUAACCGAAUAGGGGAGCCGAAGGGAAACCGAGUCUUAACUGGGCGUUAAGUUGCAGGGUAUAGACCCGAAACCCGGUGAUCUAGCCAUGGGCAGGUUGAAGGUUGGGUAACACUAACUGGAGGACCGAACCGACUAAUGUUGAAAAAUUAGCGGAUGACUUGUGGCUGGGGGUGAAAGGCCAAUCAAACCGGGAGAUAGCUGGUUCUCCCCGAAAGCUAUUUAGGUAGCGCCUCGUGAAUUCAUCUCCGGGGGUAGAGCACUGUUUCGGCAAGGGGGUCAUCCCGACUUACCAACCCGAUGCAAACUGCGAAUACCGGAGAAUGUUAUCACGGGAGACACACGGCGGGUGCUAACGUCCGUCGUGAAGAGGGAAACAACCCAGACCGCCAGCUAAGGUCCCAAAGUCAUGGUUAAGUGGGAAACGAUGUGGGAAGGCCCAGACAGCCAGGAUGUUGGCUUAGAAGCAGCCAUCAUUUAAAGAAAGCGUAAUAGCUCACUGGUCGAGUCGGCCUGCGCGGAAGAUGUAACGGGGCUAAACCAUGCACCGAAGCUGCGGCAGCGACACUAUGUGUUGUUGGGUAGGGGAGCGUUCUGUAAGCCUGUGAAGGUGGCCUGUGAGGGUUGCUGGAGGUAUCAGAAGUGCGAAUGCUGACAUAAGUAACGAUAAAGCGGGUGAAAAGCCCGCUCGCCGGAAGACCAAGGGUUCCUGUCCAACGUUAAUCGGGGCAGGGUGAGUCGACCCCUAAGGCGAGGCCGAAAGGCGUAGUCGAUGGGAAACAGGUUAAUAUUCCUGUACUUGGUGUUACUGCGAAGGGGGGACGGAGAAGGCUAUGUUGGCCGGGCGACGGUUGUCCCGGUUUAAGCGUGUAGGCUGGUUUUCCAGGCAAAUCCGGAAAACCAAGGCUGAGGCGUGAUGACGAAGCACUACGGUGCUGAAGCGACAAAUGCCCUGCUUCCAGGAAAAGCCUCUAAGCAUCAGGUAACAUCAAAUCGUACCCCAAACCGACACAGGUGGUCAGGUAGAGAAUACCAAGGCGCUUGAGAGAACUCGGGUGAAGGAACUAGGCAAAAUGGUGCCGUAACUUCGGGAGAAGGCACGCUGAUAUGUAGGUGAAGCGACUUGCUCGUGGAGCUGAAAUCAGUCGAAGAUACCAGCUGGCUGCAACUGUUUAUUAAAAACACAGCACUGUGCAAACACGAAAGUGGACGUAUACGGUGUGACGCCUGCCCGGUGCCGGAAGGUUAAUUGAUGGGGUUAGCGGUAACGCGAAGCUCUUGAUCGAAGCCCCGGUAAACGGCGGCCGUAACUAUAACGGUCCUAAGGUAGCGAAAUUCCUUGUCGGGU
rnacentral:rRNA from 1 species